UACGUAGGGUGCGAGCGUUAAUCGGAAUUACUGGGCGUAAAGCGUGCGCAGGCGGUUCGUUGUGUCUGUGGUGAAAGCCCCGGGCUUAACCUGGGAAUGGCCAUGGAAACUGGCGAGCUGGAGUGUGGCAGAGGGGGGUGGAAUUCCGCGUGUAGCAGUGAAAUGCGUAGAGAUGCGGAGGAACACCGAUGGCGAAGGCAGCCCCCUGGGCUAACACUGACGCUGAUGCGCGAAAGCGUGGGGAGCGAUCCGG
rnacentral:rRNA from 1 species